UACGAAGGGGGCUAGCGUUGCUCGGAAUUACUGGGCGUAAAGGGCGCGUAGGCGGAUAGUUCAGUCGGGGGUGAAAGCCCGGGGCUCAACCUCGGAACUGCCUUCGAUACUGGCUAUCUUGAGUACGGGAGAGGUGUGUGGAACUCCGAGUGUAGAGGUGAAAUUCGUAGAUAUUCGGAAGAACACCGAUGGCGAAGGCAGCCAUCUGGACCGACACUGACGCUGAGGCGCGAAAGCGUGGGGAGCAAACAGG
rnacentral:rRNA from 1 species